AGGAGGCGGAGCAGGAGGUAGAGGAGGAGGAGGAGGAAGGGAAGAAAAACAGAGAAAGCCAGGUUCUGAGGGCAUUUAUUGUCCCCAAACCACAGCUGGUGCCUGGGCACUCUACCUGACCUAAACAUCAAUGGGGCCCUAAAGCCAUCACCUUCUGUGCCCAGCCUUGACCAGGACUGGAGAGAGGCAGCCUUUUCCUCCCCAGCUUCUCUAGCUAUGUCCUUCUAAUGAGCAGCCAGUGCUAGGGGCCACCAGAAAGCACCCCGGGAAGGAAGAGGGGCACACAAGUGUCAGUGUUCACUGCCAAAAGGACACCGAGGCCCAGAGAGGAAAACAAGCUUCUGUGAGAUCCUUGUCACCACAAGGAUUGCUCCUUCUCUCCAAUGUCUUCAAUCCAGCUGCCCCAGCCCUGUGCAUCCUCAGCACCAGCCAGAACCAGAAUGUAGGGUCCUGCCCACUGUGAACCUGGGGGCAGCCCCCCAGCUCUCCCUCUCCCUAGUCUCUCCUGUUCCUGCCCAGAGCGACAGUCAGAUGGCACUAGAUCCAAAUGCCUGCUCUGCAGUCUGCUAGCUGUGUGGCCUUGGGCAAGCCCUUCACUGCAUCAAGUCUCAGUGGGCUGGGGACUUUAAUGGCACCUGUCUGGGGACUGGUGUUCAGCUGUUCCAGGUGCCUGGGACAAGGUGAGCCCUCGGUACCUGAAGGCUGUCUCCUCCAACUGCUGAGGCUUGGAGAAUACAGCUGGACUCUCCCAUCUGCCACCCAGCCUCUCGGGGACACCCAGCCUCACGGUCCCUGUCUACAUGGUAAGUGACCCACAGACCCAAUCACCCACUCCUCACCAGCUAGCUGUCCCCAGCGCCCCCAGCCGCAACAACUGCUGUGCCCUUCCUGACUUUUCAGACACCCUGGCAUGGGAAUGGGAAAGAGAAAAUCUCCCUCUGCCUGCUCCACUCACAGAGUCAGCCACAAAGAGCAACAGCCACUCCUGGGUGAGAUGCAGAACCCCAAAGAAGCCCUCCAUGAGGGACCCCCCACUCCACCACACUGACACAAGACAGCUUCAUCCAGAGCUCAAGAAACAUGGCCGGAUGAACUCUAAAUUUGCUGUACAAGCACAUUUGGCUUAAACCUUCUAACACAGCUCAGGCAGUGAAGGGAGCCAACAGCACGAGUCCUGGCCCCCACCGGGCGCGUCCUGCAUGUGGCUUCAGUGCUGUGAUCUCAGAGGACCCUGAAGCUCCAGGAAGCUGGGCUGACCAAGGUCGCAUGUGAGGAGAGUGGUGGCAAGCUCAGAGCACCGCAGAUGCUGCUGCUUCCAGGGUCCCAGCCAGAGUUCUGAGUGACCACAAGCUCUUCUUGUCCGGACCCUGUCCCUCGUCUUUUUUACUAACUCUAAACAUUACAAACCUCUGCAGGCUUUCCCAGCCCCUGCUCAGCUGCUUCUCCUUCUCUAUGCUUUCUGGACCUCCGGUCACUCGUGAAUACAUCAGAUAUAAAGAGGACAAAGAUCCUUGCCUUCAUGAGUGCCACAAAGAGGACUGUGGGUGAGGGGAGAGUGCAUGGUGGGGACAGAAAAGAACUUGAGGGAAAGCCAGAGAGGACGGGAAAGGCCAGGGCAGUAGCAGGUAGGUAGCUCUGAAAAGAUGUGGCGAUGGGGAAGCGAUUGGCACAGGGGCAUAGCGGUAAAAUGGGUCGACCCGGUCAUCCUGAGGCUGAGGGCUGCGGGUAGGUACACAGAGAGUGACUAGGGCCCAGUUCCAGUAACCCAGGCACAAGUGAUGGCACUCUGACCCCAAGAUGGCGGGAGACCAUGAAUGAGCAUUCCUUGAAUAAGUCUUCCUGAUCCUCCUGGACAGAGGCCAUGGAUCCAAGCUGACCAAUUCCACCGUUUCCCAGCAUGCUGUGCAAUCGUGUUUGCUGUGUCACAUCGCCCUCCAUCCCACCUCACACCCCUUGGAAUGUGAUAUACCUUUACCUCUCUAACCCUAGCACAGGCCCUGGCUUGGAGUUGAUCCUUCAAUAUGAUUCCCUUCCCCCUAAGCACAGUGAGAUUUCCCAAGGAGCAUCAAGGUCAUCCAUGGACAGGCCCAGAUGACUCCUCAGAGUCACGGCAUGCUACAACUAAAGCCCGUCCUUCCACUACCAGCCCUGGAGCAGGACUCUGGGAGCAGAAAGGACAUCCUGGAUCUCACACUGGAGCCCCAAGAUCCACACUGAGCCUCACCCUGGCCCCUCUUUACCUCUACCACGGCUGCCAUCCAGAUACCUUCCCAGAACAGAGCUGGUCCUGGUGUGCUCAGGACCCUCCAGGUGGGGAGGUACAGUCAGUUCAGCCUGGUCACCCAGGUUCCAUGCCCUGAUCCUCCCUGGUGUUCACAGACCUCCAGCGUCCCUGCUUUCUAAACACAAGCAGGUGAAGGAAGGAGAGGGUAGACCAGGUUACCGUGCAACUGCAGGCUGAGCCAGGGAGAAGCCAUGGGUCCUCGUCUCUGACCCCUCCUGCUUCCCUUUCUGUCUUCACGCCUGUUACCUUCUCAGUCCAGAUUUGAUGUCAGGAUUCUAAAAACAUCUAUGACCCUCCGUAUAGUCUCCCAAGGAUUUUUAUUUUAUUAUUUUGUCUUUCUGAGACAGGGUUUCACUAUACAGUUCAGCCUGGCCUUGAACUCACUUUGUGGUCAGGCUGACCUCAAACCUGCAUAGCUCCUCCUGCACCAGCCUCCUGAGUGAUGGAUCCCUAGGAUUUUUAGACCUGGCUUCAUGUGUGUUUUCUUGAAGUCUCUGAAUCCCUGAUGCCCAGCAUCGUUGCUGGCACAUAGCAAAUGCUCAGUAAAUGUGGGCUGGGUGAACCACUGACUGAAUCCAUGUGUCCUCCAUCAUUACAAAAGUCAGACCCUCCCUUCCAUGCCUACCAGGGAAGCAUUAGGGUCCAUGUAACAACAUUUCAAUGGCCUCCAGGUCUGGGACAGUGCUGAGAAUGCAGACAUCUCAGUGAUCUGAGACCAGUGACAUCCAUUAGUUUUUGGAUAUAAGGAUCCACACCAAAACAUCACAGUUUAAAACAGCAGCCUUUAUGUAGCUCACAGUGCCCUGUGUCGGGGGGUUCAUCUGGGUAGUCAGUUGCUUUUAUCACUACUAGGCUUUCUCAGGUGUUUGUGGCCACCCAUGAGUUGGCUUUGCUGGGCCUGGCUGAAGUCUCAGCUGAGACAACUGAGCCUGUGAUGCUGGUCCAGGUGGGCUCUGCUUAUCUGCAGGCCAGCCCAGGCUUUCUGCAGGCGGAGGCAGGUAGCCUAGAGGAAUGCUCUGCACUUCCCACCCUGAGCCCUCUAUCUGGGCCAUCACUCCCACUGCAUUCCACUGAACAGCGCAGGCCACACAGCCAGUUCAGACAGAAGGGGCGGGACAGGCAUACAGAGCUUUCUAGUGCGCAGAGAGGCAAAAACAAUCAUGCCAGGUUUGCAACUUCCUGUUCCAGCUGUGACUGUAACAUCAAAAUCCACCCAGAUCAGAUCAUGUGCUAGUCACUUUCUCAUGGCUGGAACAAAAUGCCUGACAUCCACAACUGAAAAGGAAAUGAGGUUUAUUUAGCUCACGGUUUCUAGUGGGUUCCAUCCAGGGUCGGUGGACACGCAUGCGGAAGGGCACAGCGGAGGAGGGAUACCCAGCGAGCCAUUGUAGCCAGGAAGUGGAAGCAGACGCUCAGAAAGAGACCACCGCACUGUUCCACGUCACAACCCAGCGACCCAGCUGCAACCAGCCCCACCUCCCAGCAGCACGGUCAGCUACUGAACUCUGAGGCGCUCUGGGUCCUGAGACAGGAAAUCAGCAUCAAUUUCUUGCCUACCUGUGGGUUUAGAGGGAGGAUCUUGAGCAAAUGAGAGCCAAACUCCAAGAAUGUCUCUCAGGACCUCUCCUUUGUCCCCAGCCAGAUUUAUGUCAUGGGUCUGUUUCCCAAGUCUGCCCCAAUCCUGAUCUGGGGUGGGAGUUGAAGGAGAGUUUGGGAGUGAUCCAGGAGAUUCUCCCAUCCUAGAACCUUCCUGGAAGGGUGGUUGGGGGCAUCUCUGUAUCCUGUGGCUUUAUUCUGUUGCUUCAUAGCCCUCACUACUGUGCAGAAAUAUUCGUGAUUUAGUAGAUAUGUAUGUUCAGUCUCCCUCCGAAGAGCAUGAGUGCUUCUCCGUUUCUGGGCCCCAGACCUCGGGUAUGGAGAGAGGGGUGCAGCCGAGGUGGUGGCAGUGGUGAAGGGCAUGCCAGGAGGUGGCUUCCUGGAACAGGGAGCAGCAGCAACGAGGACAGUGGCCUCCCUAGCACUGGUGCUUGUGUCCACUGCACUGCGGCCGGCUGAAGAAGAACUGCUUGAAGUUUUUCUCAUAGGUGGGCAGGCUGUCUUUGAAGCAGUACACGGAUCGCUUGUCACACUCACAGGCUUUCAGCCCGCAGAGGCAGCUGCUACUGGGACCCAGGGUGCAUCCACCUGCAGAGACACACAGGGUCAACUGAGGUCCCCUUCUCAUCCUAGGGCUCAGCUGUCACUGAACUGUGGGGACCAAGGGCUGAGGAUGGCAAGGGAAGAAGCCAGGAGUCCUUUGCCUUCAUCCUCAGACCCUUCCUCACUACAUCCGGGCAUCCAGCUGCUGCAGAGAAGCUGAGAAAGAAGCCAGAGGGGGUAGGCAGGGUACGCUGCAUGGAGAGGCCAAAUCACUGCACCUGGGCAGCACCCAGGCCAAGGGGUCAGAGCUUGUCUCAUGUUUCCAGCUGCCUGCUCCCCAUCCUGUGUAGAUACCUGAGGAACCACGCCUCCAGCCCAGCCUGUCCUUCCUCCACACUCAGUAAUGGCAUGGACUCUGACAGGGGCCAGAAAACUAGGGGCCACCUCAUUUCCUCCUCUCUUGUCACUGUCCACACUUGGCCCCGACUGCUGUUACGGAUAUUCACGCUCUGCUCUCUUUUCUCCAUUGUCCUGACCACUACCCAUAUCCCAUCAUCACAGGCCCCUCCUCCUCUGUGGAAAGAAAUAAGCAGGCACAGGCUUACGCUGUGCCUGAAUGCGGCCUCGCCUGCUUACUGCCCCACCAUGGUUUCCCACUGUUCGGGGAAGAUGUCCCCAAUCCUUGUAAUGGCCCACAGAGCACACUUACUAUGACUUGAUCCUCCCCAGACACCCAGUCCCUGUGCAACCUCCACCCCAUCCCCCACCUUCACCCUCCUCCAGGUGCACUGGCCAAAUUUUAGGUUAUAUGUCUUGCUCUGUCUUGUCCCAGGGCUUUUCCCCAUGUUAUUUUCUUGUUCUCAGCCUCCUCCACAGGACCUCCCAGUGCUACUCUUUGGGUCUUGGUCAAAUUCCACCUUGUUGGGGAGGCUGUCCCAACCUACCUGGUCCGAAGCUUCCCCCAACCCCAGCCAUUCUCCCAGCAUGCUCCUUGCUCAUUGCCAUGCACAAGGGUGGUGUAAGGCACACUUCCCCCUCUACCUAGCUCUACCCCAGGUCCACUCUCUUUGUACAGUUGAGAGGUGAAGGAGGCCCCCAGAUCCCUUGGUUUGUCAUUGCUGUCUCCACCUAGGCGGAGGUGGAAGCAGCAGAGUCCCACCUCCUCCCCUGGAUGGUGGUGGGCUCCACAGGUGGCUGUUCCCAGCUGCUGAGUGCUCGGCAGAAGCCUGGCCCCGCUGGCACUGCGCCCUCCCCCGGUCCAGCACUGAUUGCACCUGUUUAUCUGCCAUGCUCCCUCGCAGAGGCCCACACUCCUGCUGGAGCUGUCCUCCCACUCCUGUAAGGAAAUGCAAUUUCUUGGCGCCUCAGCUGCCCCUUGCUACUCGCCCUCAGGAAUGUGCCAGGAACGUUUGCACUGCUGCUCCUCAUCCUGACACCCGGGCCACCUUUGCCCUCCCACUCCCGCUUCUCCAUGUGAGAAUCCAUCUGCAUCCAUGGAGCCCCAGCUCUGCAGGGACUUUGCUCCAGAGGGACAACCUGUCCCUCCCAGAGAAGUCCCCGGAGUAGGGGCCCAUCCCCAUGGUGGGGUGAAGGCUGCCAGAGACACUGAGGAGGGGCUAGGCUUGCUAUUUAAUAACUAUGGGAACUAAGGAGCACAGGGUCUCCAGCACUACAACAGUCUCUUCCUCCGAGGACAGCAUCCCCAUGACCCAGUGACCUCCCCCACCUGCCCCUCCUCUUUAAGGUCCCACCCCUGCUUAACAUUGUUACACUGGAGACCAAGCUGUCCAUCUGCUCUUCCUCCUGCUUCACAAGCUUGGGAGAUGGCACCACUAUCACAGCUCAGGUCAAGAGCCCCAAGUCGGUCUCUUUGUCCUUCACAUCUCAGGCCUUGGUAACUCUGCCACCAAAGCACACCCAGCAUCUAACACUUCUCCGUGUCCUUUCUGUCAUUGUCUUGGUUCAAGUUGUGCAUUCUCCCCCUUAGUGCUAGAAACAUAGCCUCCUCCCUAACUGGAUGCUAAUGGGACGUCUUCUUCCCUCCACACUCCCCACUGCUCUGCAGGGCAGCCAGAGUGAUCUUUCUAGAGCACAGUUAGAGCAGCUCAUGCCCCUUCCAGACACACGCCGAUGGCUCUCCUGCCCUUGAAGGAGAAGAUGAACAUCUCAUCCAGGCUCCUUCAAGUCAGAGGCUGAGUCUGUCUCAUCACUGAUCUCUGGACCCUAACACCACUUCAUCCUUCUCCACCAGCUGCUGAUGCCUUAAUUGGGUGAGCUCCAGAUCUAGCUCCAGAUCUGUAGCUUCUGUCGUCCUCAAGCGAGUCACUCCUCUCUACCCGUUUCCUGAGCUUUCAAUUAG